CUGGGAUUACAGGCGUGAACCACCGCGCCCGGCCUAUUUUCUUUUUAAAGUAUAUAAUUCUGGCUGGGUGCGGUGGCUCAGGCCUGUAAUCCCAGC
rnacentral:miRNA from 1 species